AACGAACGCUGGCGGCAUGCCUAAUACAUGCAAGUCGAACGAGAUCUUCGGAUCUAGUGGCGCACGGGUGCGUAACGCGUGGGAAUCUGCCCUUGGGCUCGGAAUAACUUCUGGAAACGGAAGCUAAUACCGGAUGAUGACGUAAGUCCAAAGAUUUAUCGCCCAAGGAUGAGCCCGCGUAGGAUUAGGUAGUUGGUGAGGUAAAGGCUCACCAAGCCGACGAUCCUUAGCUGGUCUGAGAGGAUGAUCAGCCACACUGGGACUGAGACACGGCCCAGACUCCUACGGGAGGCAGCAGUAGGGAAUAUUGGACAAUGGGCGAAAGCCUGAUCCAGCAAUGCCGCGUGAGUGAUGAAGGCCUUAGGGUUGUAAAGCUCUUUUACCCGGGAUGAUAAUGACAGUACCGGGAGAAUAAGCUCCGGCGAACUCCGU
rnacentral:rRNA from 1 species